GACGAACGCUGGCGGCGCGCUUAACACAUGCAAGUCGAACGGAAAGGCCUGCUUUCCCUUGUGGAUUGCGGGUACUCGAGUGGCGAACGGGUGAGUAACACGUGAGUGAUCUGCCCCCAACUUGGGUAUAAGCCUGGGAAACUGGGUCUAAUUCCCGAUAGGACUGCAGGGUGGUGCCUGUGGUGGAAAACGAUUUUCUAGUGGUUGGGGAUGAGCUCGCGGCCUAUCAGCUUGUUGGUGGGGUAAUGGCCUACCAAGGCGGCGACGGGUAGCCGGCCUGAGAGGGUGGACGGCGACAUUGGGACUGAGAUACGGCCCAGACUCCUACGGGAGGCAGGAGUGGGGAAUAUUGCACAAUGGGCAGAAGCUUGAUGCAGCGACGCCGCGUGGGGGAUGACGGGCUUCGGGUUGUAAACUCCUUUCGACCGAGAGGAAGCCACCUGGUUGGAAGGGUGGUGACGGUAGUGGUAGAAGAAGCACCGGCUAACUACGUG
rnacentral:rRNA from 1 species